UGUGGGAGCGAGCUUGCUCGCGAUCGCGGUGGUUCAGUCACAUCAAUGUCAAUGGGGCUGACGCUAUCGCGAGCAAGCUCGCUCCCACA
rnacentral:misc_RNA from 1 species